AUCAAACUAAACUGGGAAUGAGGAUCUUUAUCUCCUGAUUCGCCAGAUUAUGUGACGAAGAGGUAUAUUAUCUGCUACACAGGAAACUGAUUAUUUCCCAUAACGAUGUACUUUCUACUGCUAUACUUUGAUAUUUUCUGUCUAUCUGAAUCUAUAUAAAUGAUUUGUCAUGAAUCACCAUUAGUCGACUGGAUAUAAUUAAUGCCAUGCUCCGAAUUAGUGUAGAUAUACCUGAAUGUGAGGUUCUAUAUAAUCAUAAUGUCUGGGAGACAUCUCAUCGUCUAAGUGGAAACACAGUGAAGGACCAUGUCUGUUAUUGAGAAAUGUCACCAUAUCAAGCCCUGCAAUCAGGUUUUUCCCUUUUCGACAGAACCCCAGAUUACAUACAUGGUAUUACCCUCGAGCUCCAUCCUUCAGCUGCUACAAAUCACAUUAAGCUCUGCAAAAUCCUUC